rnacentral:rRNA from 1 species
UACACAUGUUAGAUUCCUCGUUGAAGAGCGAAGUAACACUCGCACACAUGUUAGAUAACACUCGCAUACAUGUUAGAUUCCUCGUUGAAGAGCGAAGAUUCCUCGUUGAAGAGCGAGAUUCCUCGUUGAAGGGCGAAGAUUCCUCGUUGAAGAGCGAAUGUAAACACUCGCACAUAUGUUAGAUACACUCGCACAUAUGUUAGAUUCCUCGUUGAAGAACAAUAAACACUCGCACAUAUGUUAGAACACUCACACACAUGUAACACUCGCACACAUGUUAGAACAUAAACACUCGCACAUAUGUUAGAUUCCUCGUUGAAGAGCGAACUAACACUCGCACACAUGUUAGAGCAUAAACACUCGCACAUAUGUUAGAUUCCUCGUUGAAGAGCGAUAAACACUCGCACAUAUGUUAGAUAACACUCGCACACAUGUUAGAUUCUUCGUUGAAGAACAAUAAACACUCGCACAUAUGUUAGAGCAUAAACACUCGCACACAUGUUAGAUUCCUCGUUCAAGAGCGAAGAUUCCUCGUUGAAGAGCUCUUGGUCAUUUAGAGGAAGUAAAAGUCGUAACAAGGUUUCCGUAGGUGAACCUGCGGAAGGAUCAUUACCAACCUUUGUGAGCCUUGGACUCGUCCAUGGUCCCGCGAAAUACGUAUUUAAAACCCGCUCAUAUUAACUAAAACAUGUGGUCAACAUAUGAUAAUUAAAGAUCACUUUCAACAACGGAUCUCUUGGCUCUCGCAUCGAUGAAGAACGUAGCGAAGUGCGAUAAGUAGUGUGAAUUGCAGAAUUCCGUGAAUCAUCGAAUUUUUGAACGCAAAUUGCACUCCCUGGUAUUCCGGGGAGUAUGCCUGUUUGAGGGUCAGUCUAAGUAAAAUCGAGGUGUCGCCUUGGUGACAAUUUCGGAAUUGGGUUGUCUUAACCUCUUUUCAGGUUAAGAGGCCUGAAAUUGAUGUUUUUUUGCGCAUCUUGGACGUGUAUAAUUCGCUUAUCCGUUUUCGAUGUCAAAUGUUUUAUUGGGUAUGGUCACGCCGUGUGUGAUCUCGUACCCAUAAUUUUUCAUAUUUUGACCUCAAAUCAGGUAGGAGUACCCACUGAACUUAAGCAUAUCAAUAAGCGGAGGAA